rnacentral:rRNA from 1 species
CCUACGGGGCGCUGCAGUGGGGAAUAUUGAACAAUGGGGGCAACCCUGAUCCAGCCAUGCCGCGUGUGUGAAGAAGGCCCUCGGGUUGUAAAGCACUUUCAGUGAGGAAGAACGCCUGGUGGUUAAUACCCAUCAGGAAAGACAUCACUCACAGAAGAAGCACCGGCUAACUCCGUGCCAGCAGCCGCGGUAAUACGGAGGGGGCGAGCGUUAAUCGGAAUUACUGGGCGUAAAGCGCGCGUAGGUGGCUUGAUAAGCCGGUUGUGAAAGCCCCGGGCUCAACCUGGGAACGGCAUCCGGAACUGUCAAGCAAGAGGGCGGGAGAGGAAGGUAGAAUUCCCGGUGUAGGGGUGAAAUGCGUAGAGAUUGGGAGGAAUACCGGUGGCGAAGGCGGCCAUCUGGAAGGAAAGUCACACAGAGGUGCGAAAGCGUGGGUAGCAAACAGGAUUAGAUACCCCAGUAGUC